GGCUUCAGAGAGAGUGCCUGUGGGGCACCAGGUAAUCCGAGACUGCAGCUCAGAGAUUACUCCAGCAAAGAGUCAGGUAUCCACACUGCCUCUGGUACCUGCCCGUUGGUCACUCACUCAUUGUUCUGAUGAUAAGAUAGACAGAUCACAAGAAGGGAUGAAAGUGGUGUCAUUCUCCAGAACCAGGUGUGGAUUGUGAUCAGACCUAGAAUUGGCUACGUAAAAAGCUUAAGAGAGAGAUUCCAUGUCCUGCAACACUGUCCACAAUUCAAAUCUGUAUUCAAGAUAAAACUAAAAGCAGAGAAAAUCCACAGCAGACCUACCACUCUCCAGGCAGAUAGUGCCCUCUCCACACUCUGCAGCCAUCACCUGCCCCUGCUGGACACUGCCCAGAGAGAGACCUGCUGCUGCAGGGCAGCUUGUGUCAGCCACUGCGGCCUUAGAGAGAGCUGCAGGAAAUGGGACUUCUCACAUGCUCUCCACAGUGGAACCACAGGACAAGAAUUCAUCUUGUGUGGGUGGAAAAGAUCAUGACUCUGUAAUUCUAAAAUAUCUCCCAGAUUGAUUUUUUUCACCAAGGAAGCACCUGUGGAUGUGGGGCCCUAAAUGAGAAAGUUCUGAUUUUACACAUCUAUGAUUUGGAUGGAAACAAAAGUGAAUCUCUGACCUUCUGGUCACCUCUCUGACUAGCUCUCCCAUUCCUGUACAUUUACUCCAGGGGGAAAGUGCAGAGGAGGUGGGCCAUGCCAGGAAGGGCACAGCCAUUGGAGAAUCUGAAUUAGUGGAUUUCAAGCAAAAUUAGAGUCUGGGGCUAGGAUCACCUGGAAGCUCCUGUGGUCUUCCAGAGCUGACACAAGUGGCAAUGAAAAUGGCCUGAAGAAGAGGCAAAGGGACUUGCUACAACAGCCGCUGGCACCUGCCUCUGGGCUUGCCUUUUGUCUCCCUUUCCUUGCUCUUUAAACCUGGCUAUCCUUACCCUCCCUUGGAGAACACUCCUCCCAAGACUGACUGUAAAUUAAGGCUGCCCCUGCAGAGCCUGAAGAUGAGCCUGACUGAGAAACAAGGAAUAAUCUCCCGGCUUUCCAGACUCCCCUCUCCCCACUGCUGGUGAAGCUCAUGGCUGGUGAAACCUUGGCAUGUUUAACCUCUCCAUACAAGUAACUCAUUGAUUGUAGAUUUUGGAAGCAUCUGAAAAUACAAGACAGCGUUAAAGUA